rnacentral:rRNA from 1 species
CAGUGUUGCAUGGUGUCGUCAGCUCGUGUCGUGAGAUGUUGGGUUAAGUCCCGCAACGAGCGCAACCCUCAUCCUUAGUUGCCAUCAGGUAAUGCUGGGUACUUUAAGGAAACUGCCAGUGAUAAGCUGGAGGAAGGUGGGGAUGAUGUCAAGUCAUCAUGGCCUUUAUGGGGUGGGCUACACACGUGCUACAAUGGUGUCUACAAUGGGUUGCAAGGUGCGCAAGCUUAAGCUAAUCCCUAAAAGACAUCUCAGUUCGGAUUGUACUCUGCAACUCGAGUACAUGAAGUUGGAAUCGCUAGUAAUCGUGGAUCAGCAUGCCACGGUGAAUACGUUCUCGAGUCUUGUACACACUGCCCGUCACGCCAUGGGAAUUG